rnacentral:sRNA from 1 species
CGAGCGUAGCGAGAGAACGUUGCGUCAGCAACGGCCCGCAGGGCGAGCCACGUAGUGGCGAGUAAUCCUCUAUCACCGACCA